rnacentral:pre_miRNA from 1 species
AAUGGGAUAGCUGGGACAUAUGGCAGUUCUAUUCCUAGUUUUUUGAGGAAUCUCCAUAUUGCUUUUCGGAGUGGUUGUACUAAUUUGCAGCCCCACCAGCAAU